rnacentral:tRNA from 1 species
UGCGGAGUAGAGCAGUUGGUAGCUUGCCAGGCUCAUAACCUGGAGGUCGACGGUUCAAGUCCGUCCUCCGCAA